CCUACGGGAGGCAGCAGUGAGGAAUAUUGGUCAAUGGACGAGAGUCUGAACCAGCCAAGUAGCGUGAAGGAUGACUGCCCUAUGGGUUGUAAACUUCUUUUAUAUGGGAAUAAAAUGUUCCACUUGUGGGAUUUUGUAUGUCCCAUAUGAAUAAGGAUCGGCUAACUCCGUGCCAGCAGCCGCGGUAAUACGGAGGAUCCAAUCGUUAUCCGGAUUUAUUGGGUUAAAGGGAGCGUAGGUGGAUUGUUAAGUCAGUUGUGAAAGUUUGCUGCUCAACCGUAAAAUUGCAGUUGAAACUGGCAGUCUUGAGUACAGUAGAGGUGAGCGGAAUUCGUGGUGUAGCGGUGAAAUGCUUAGAUAUCACGAAGAACUCCGAUUGCGAAGGCAGUUCACUGGACUGCAACUGACACUGAGGCUCGAAAGUGUGGGUAUCAAACAGGAUUAGAUACCCGAGUAGUC
rnacentral:rRNA from 1 species